rnacentral:lncRNA from 1 species
UGGCACCAGGGGACAAAGUGGCGCCUGCCCUGACGGUGUCGUCCCUCUGCCCCGUCCCGUGUCCCCGCCAUGUUCCUGUCCCCGUGUCCCCAUGUCCAUGUGUCCCCGUGUCCCUGUGUCGCCAUGUCCCUGUGUCCCCAUGUCCCCUGUGUCCCCAUGUCUACGUGUUCCUAUGUUCCCUUUGUUUUGUGUCCCCAUGUCCACGUGUCCCCAUGUGUCUGUGUCUUCUGUGUCCCCCCAUGUCCUGUGUCACCACGUCCCCUGUGUCCCCGUGUCCCUGUGUCCUCCGUGUCUUGUGUCCCCACGUCCCCACGUUUCUUGCUUUCCUGUGUCCCAUGUCACGGCGUGUCCCGUGUCACUGCGUGUCCCAUGUCAUGUCAUGACAUGUCUCACGUCCUGCUGCGUCCCCUGUCCUGGCGUGUCCCACGUGUCCCGGUGUGUCCUGCCGUGUCUCAACGUGUCCCAAUGUGUGCCGGCGUGUCCCAACGUGUCCUGGCAUGUCCUGAUGUGUCCUGGCGUGUCCUGGCAUGUCCUGGCGUGUCCCGGCGUGUCCCGGCGUGUCCCGACGUGUCCUGGCGUGUCCCAAUGUGUCCUGACGUGUCCUGACGUGUCCUGGCGUGUCCCGACGUGUCCCGGCGUGUCCCGACGUUUCCUGGCAUGUCCCAUGUGUCCUGGUGUGUCCUGCGUGUCCCGGUGUGUCCUGGCAUGUCCCGACGUGUCCCACGUGUCCCGGUUUGUCCCAACGUGUCCUGGCGUGUCCUGACGUGUCCUGGCGUGUCCCAUGUGUCCUGGCGUGUCCCGACGUGUCCCACGUGUCCCGGUUUGUCCCAACGUGUCCCGGCGUGUCCCGGCGUGUCCUGGCGUGUCCUGUCGUGUCCUGGCAUGUCCCGACGUGUCCCACCUGUCCCGGUUUGUCCCAACGUGUCCCGGCGUGUCCCGGCGUGUCCUGGCGUGUCCUUGGCGUGUCCUUGGCGUGUCGCAGGAGUACGAGCGGGCGCUGCAGUACGUGGAGG